CAGCAGCCGCGGGAAUACGGAGGGUGCAAGCGUUAAUCGGAAUUACUGGGCGUAAAGCGCACGCAGGCGGUCUGUCAAGUCAGAUGUGAAAUCCCCGGGUUUAACCUGGGAACUGCAUUUGAUACUGGGAAGCUAGAGUAUGGGAGAGGAUGGUAGAAUUCCAGGUGUAGCGGUGAAAUGCGUAGAGAUCUGGAGGAAUACCGAUGGCGAAGGCAGCCAUCUGGCCUAAUACUGACGCUGAGGUACGAAAGCAUGGGGAGCAAACAGGAUUAGAUACCCCGGUAGUCCCUGUCUCUUAUAA
rnacentral:rRNA from 1 species